UUGAAGAGUUUGAUCAUGGCUCAGAUUGAACGCUGGCGGCAGGCCUAACACAUGCAAGUCGAACGGUAACAGGAAGCAGCUUGCUGCUUUGCUGACGAGUGGCGGACGGGUGAGUAAUGUCUGGGAAACUGCCUGAUGGAGGGGGGAUAACUACUGGAAACGGUAGCUAAUACCGCAUAACGUCGCAAGACCAAAGAGGGGGGACCUUCGGGCCUCUUGCCAUCGGAUGUGCCCAGAUGGGAUUAGCUAGUAGGUGGGGUAACGGCUCACCUAGGCGACGAUCCCUAGCUGGUCUGAGAGGAUGACCAGCCACACUGGAACUGAGACACGGUCCAGACUCCUACGGGAGGCAGCAGUGGGGGAAUAUUGCACAAUGGGCGCAAGCCUGAUGCAGCCAUGCCGCGUGUAUGAAGAAGGCCUUCGGGUUGUAAAGUACUUUCAGCGGGGGAGGAAGGGUGUAAAGUUAAUACCUUUGCUCAUUGACGUUACCCGCAGAAGAAGCACCGGCUAACUCCGUGCCAGCAGCCGCGGUAAUACGGAGGGUGCAAGCGUUAAUCGGAAUUACUGGGCGUAAAGCGCACGCAGGCGGUUUGUUAAGUCAGAUGUGAAAUCCCCGGGCUCAACCUGGGAACUGCAUCUGAUACUGGCAAGCUUGAGUCUCGUAGAGGGGGGGGUAGAAUUCCGGUGUAGCGGUGAAAUGCGUAGAGAUCUGGAGGAAUACCGGUGGCGAAGGCGGCCCCCCUGGACGAAGACUGACGCUCAGGUGCGAAAGCGUGGGGAGCAAACAGGAUUAGAUACCCCGGUAGUCCACGCCGUAAACGAUGUCGACUUGGAGGUUGUGCCCUUGAGGCGUGGCUUCCGGAGCUAACGCGUUAAGUCGACCGCCCGGGGAGUACGGCCGCAAGGUUAAAACUCAAAUGAAUUGACGGGGGGCCCGCACAAGCGGUGGAGCAUGUGGUUUAAUUCGAUGCAACGCGAAGAACCUUACCUGGUCUUGACAUCCACGGAAGUUUUCAGAGAUGAGAAUGUGCCUUCGGGAACCGUGAGACAGGUGCUGCAUGGCUGUCGUCAGCUCGUGUUGUGAAAUGUUGGGUUAAGUCCCGCAACGAGCGCAACCCUUAUCCUUUGUUGCCAGCGGUCCGGCCGGGAACUCAAAGGAGACUGCCAGUGAUAAACUGGAGGAAGGUGGGGAUGACGUCAAGUCAUCAUGGCCCUUACGACCAGUGGCUACACACGUGCUACAAUGGCGCAUACAAAGAGAAGCGACCUCGCGAGAGCAAGCGGACCUCAUAAAGUGCGUCGUAGUCCGGAUUGGAGUCUGCAACUCGACUCCAUGAAGUCGGAAUCGCUAGUAAUCGUGGAUCAGAAUGCCACGGUGAAUACGUUCCCGGGCCUUGUACACACCGCCCGUCACACCAUGGGAGUGGGUUGCAAAAGAAGUAGGUAGCUUAACCUUCGGGAGGGCGCUUACCACUUUGUGAUUCAUGACUGGGGUGAAGUCGUAACAAGGUAACCGUAGGGGGAACCUGCGGUUGGAUCACCUCCUU
rnacentral:rRNA from 1 species